rnacentral:rRNA from 1 species
UACGUAGGGGGCAAGCGUUAUCCGGAUUUACUGGGUGUAAAGGGAGCGUAGACGGUGAUGCAAGUCAGAAGUGAAAGCCCGGGGCUCAACUCCGGGACUGCUUUUGAAACUGUGUGACUGGAGUGCAGGAGAGGUAAGCAGAAUUCCUGGUGUAGCGGUGAAAUGCGUAGAUAUCAGGAGGAACACCAGUGGCGAAGGCGGCUUACUGGACUGUAACUGACGUUGAGGCUCGAAAGCGUGGGGAGCAAACAGG